rnacentral:rRNA from 1 species
UACGUAGGGUGCGAGCGUUAAUCGGAAUUACUGGGCGUAAAGCGUGCGCAGGCGGUUUUGCAAGCCGGAUGUGAAAUCCCCGGGCUCAACCUGGGAAUGGCAUUUGGGACUGCAAGGCUCGAGUGCGGCAGAGGAGACUGGAAUUCCUGGUGUAGCAGUGAAAUGCGUAGAUAUCAGGAGGAACACCAAUAGCGAAGGCAGCUCGCUGGGACGUUACUGACACUGAGGCGCGAAAGCGUGGGGAGCGAACAGG